rnacentral:rRNA from 1 species
AAUGAACGCUGGCGGCGCGCCUAAUACAUGCAAGUCGAGCGAGAAGACGUAGCAAUACGUUUGUAAAGCGGCGAACGGGUGAGGAAUACAUGGGUAACCUACCCUCGAGUGGGGAAUAACUAGCCGAAAGGUUAGCUAAUACCGCGUACGCUCCUUGGACUUCGGUUCAGGGAGGAAAGCGAUACCGUGGGUAUCGCGCUCUUGGAUGGGCUCAUGUCCUAUCAGCUUGUUGGGAGGUAACGGCUCACCAAGGCUUCGACGGGUAGCUGGUCUGAGAGGACAAUCAGCCACACUGGCACUGCGACACGGGCCAGACUCCUACGGGAGGCAGCAGUAAGGAAUAUUGCGCAAUGGGCGAAAGCCUGACGCAGCGACGCCGCGUGGGGGA